rnacentral:rRNA from 1 species
GACGAACGCUGGCGGCGUGCUUAACACAUGCAAGUCGAACGAAAAGAGGGAAAGAGCGUGCGCUUUCCGGAAUUGAGUGGCAAACGGGUGAGUAACACGUAAACAACCUGCCUUCAGGAUGGGGACAACAGACGGAAACGACUGCCAAUACGGAAUAAGUGCCAAAAGGCGCAGGGCGCAAGGAAGAAAAGGUGGGCGCUAGAUGUAAGCCAUAGCCUGAAGAGGGGUUUGCGUCGGAUUAGCUGGGUGGCGGGGCAACGGCCCACCAAGGGGACGAUCAGUCUUCGCUCUGCUUUGACGAGCGGCCGCACUGGAACUGUGACACGCUCCAUUCUCCUACGGGAGGCAGCAGUGCGCCAUCUUCCGCAAUCGGCGAAAGCCUGACGACGCAACGCCGCGUGCGUGAUCACGGCCUCCGCGUUGUAAAUCUCUGUGAUCCGGUACGAAAACGCAGAGUGCGAAGACCAAGCUGCAUUGACGGUACCGGAAAAGCAAGCCACGGCUAACUACGUG